UGAGGAAUAUUGGUCAAUGGGCGCAGGCCUGAACCAGCCAAGUAGCGUGAAGGAUGAAGGCUCUAUGGGUCGUAAACUUCUUUUAUAUGGGAAUAAAGUUGAGUAUGUAUACUUUUUUGUAUGUACCGUAUGAAUAAGGAUCGGCUAACUCCGUGCCAGCAGCCGCGGUAAUACGGAGGAUCCGAGCGUUAUCCGGAUUUAUUGGGUUUAAAGGGAGCGUAGGUGGAUUGUUAAGUCAGUUGUGAAAGUUUGCGGCUCAACCGUAAAAUUGCAGUUGAAACUGGCAGUCUUGAGUACAGUAGAGGUGGGCGGAAUUCGUGGUGUAGCGGUGAAAUGCUUAGAUAUCACGAAGAACUCCGAUUGCGAAGGCAGCUCACUAGACUGGUGACUGACACUGAGGCUCGAAAGUGUGGGUAUCAAACAGG
rnacentral:rRNA from 1 species